AUCCAACUGACGAGUCCCAAAUAAAACGAAACACUCGUCAAACUAGAU
rnacentral:hammerhead_ribozyme from 1 species